ensembl:rRNA 5S_rRNA 5S ribosomal RNA
CUUUGUGGUCAUACCAGUCUGUCAUUGCUCGAUCCCAUUAGAUCUCUGAAGCUAAGCAGGUCUGGGCCUGGUUAGUAGUUGGAUGGAGACCACUGAGAAUUCCAGGUGCCAUAGUGU